CAGCUAGUUGGUGGAGUAAAAGUCUACCAAGGCGACGAUCGGUAGCUGGUCUGAGAGGAUGAUCAGCCACACUGGGAUUGAGAACGGCCCAGACUCCUACGGGGGGCAGCAGUGAGGAAUUUUCGUCAAUGGGGGCAACCCUGAACGAGCAACGCCGCGUGCAGGAAGACACUUUUCGGAGCGUAAACUGCUUUUCUCGGGGACGAGUAAGGACGGUACCCGAGGAAUCAGCCCCGGCUAACUACGUGCCAGCAGCCGCGGUAAUACGUAGGGGGCGAGCGUUGUCCGGAGUUACUGGGCGUAAAGCGCGCGCAGGCGGUCGUGUAAGUUUGGAGUGACAAUCCUCGGCUUAACUGAGGAGGGCCUUUGAAGACUGCACAACUUGAGGGUUCACGAGGGACACGGAAUUCCGGGUGGAGUGGUGAAAUGCGUAGAGAUCCGGAGGAACACCAAAGGCGAAGGCAGUGUCCUGGGGAGUACCUGACGCUCAGGUGCGAAAGCCAGGGGAGCGAACGGGAUUAGAUACCCCGGUAGUCCUGGCCGUAAACGAUGACCACUAGGCGUGGGGGGUAUCGACCCCUUCCGUGCCGUAGCUAACGUGAUAAGUGGUCCGCCUGGGGAGUACGGUCGCAAGAUUAAAACUCA
rnacentral:rRNA from 1 species